UACAGAGGGUGCAAGCGUUUGUUCGGAAUUAUUGGGCGUAAAGCGCGUGUAGGCGGCUUUGCAAGUCGGGUGUGAAAGCCCUCAGCUCAACUGAGGAAGUGCGCCCGAAACUGCAGAGCUUGAGUACCGGAGAGGAUGGCGGAAUUCCCCAAGUAGAGGUGAAAAUUCGUAGAUAUGGGGAGGAACACCGGUGGCGAAGGCGGCCAUCUGGACGGAUACUGACGCUGAGACGCGAAAAGCGUGGGGAGCAAACAG
rnacentral:rRNA from 1 species